rnacentral:rRNA from 1 species
GAUGAACGCUGGCGGCGUGCUUAACACAUGCAAGUCGAACGAUGAAGCCCAGCUUGCCGGGUGGAUUAGUGGCGAACGGGUGAGUAACACGUGAGUAACCUGCCCUUAACUCUGGGAUAAGCCUGGGAAACUGGGUCUAAUACCAGAUAGGAGCGUCCACCGCAUGGUGGGUGUUGGAAAGAUUUAUCGGUUUUGGAUGGACUCGCGGCCUAUCAGCUUGUUGGUGAGGUAAUGGCUCACCAAGGCGACGACGGGUAGCCGGCCUGAGAGGGUGACCGGCCACACUGGGACUGAGACACGGCCCAGACUCCUACGGGAGGCAGCAGUGGGGAAUAUUGCACAAUGGGCGCAAGCCUGAUGCAGCGACGCCGCGUGAGGGAUGACGGCCUUCGGGUUGUAAACCUCUUUCAGUAGGGAAGAAGCGAAAGUGACGGUACCUGCAGAAGAAGCACCGGCUAACUACGUG